rnacentral:rRNA from 1 species
GACGAACGCUGGCGGCGUGCUUAACACAUGCAAGUCGAACGGAAAGGCCCUGCUUGCAGGGUACUCGAGUGGCGAACGGGUGAGUAACACGUGGGUGAUCUGCCCUGCACUUCGGGAUAAGCCUGGGAAACUGGGUCUAAUACCGGAUAGGAGCCAUUUUUAGUGUGAUGGUUGGAAAGUUUUUUCGGUGUAGGAUGAGCUCGCGGCCUAUCAGCUUGUUGGUGGGGUAAUGGCCUACCAAGGCGGCGACGGGUAGCCGGCCUGAGAGGGUGGACGGCCACAAUGGGACUGAGAUACGGCCCAGACUCCUACGGGAGGCAGCAGUGGGGAAUAUUGCACAAUGGGCGCAAGCCUGAUGCAGCGACGCCGCGUGGGGGAUGACGGCCUUCGGGUUGUAAACUCCUUUCGCUAGGGACGAAGCUUUUUGUGACGGUACCUAGAUAAGAAGCACCGGCUAACUACGU